GUGCCAGCAGCCGCGGUAAUACGGAAGGUCCAGGCGUUAUCCGGAUUUAUUGGGUUUAAAGGGAGCGUAGGCUGUUUGUUAAGCGUGUUGUGAAAUGUAAGAGCUCAACUUUUAGAUUGCAGCGCGAACUGGCAGACUUGAGUGCGCACAACGUAGGCGGAAUUCAUGGUGUAGCGGUGAAAUGCUUAGAUAUCAUGACGAACUCCGAUUGCGAAGGCAGCUUACGGGAGCGCAACUGACGCUAAAGCUCGAAGGUGCGGGUAUCGAACAGGAUUAGAUACCCUGGUAGUCCGCACAGUAAACGAUGGAUGCCCGCUGUUAGCACCUAGUGUUAGCGGCUAAGCGAAAGCAUUAAGCAUCCCACCUGGGGAGUACGCCGGCAACGGUGAAACUCAAAGGAAUUGACGG
rnacentral:rRNA from 1 species